rnacentral:tRNA from 8 species
CGCGGGGUGGAGCAGUCUGGUAGCUCGUCGGGCUCAUAACCCGAAGGUCGGAGGUUCAAAUCCUCCCCCCGCAACCA